GUGCCAGCAGCUGCGUUAAAACACAGGUAGCAUAGCGUUAUCCGGAACUAUUGGGCGUAAAGCGCGCGUAGGCGGUUUCUUAAGUCUGAUGUGAAAGCCCACGGCUCAACCGUGGAGGGUCAUUGGAAACUGGGAAACUUGAGUGCAGAAGAGGAAAGUGGAAUUCCAUGUGUAGCGGUGAAAUGCGCAGAGAUAUGGAGGAACACCAGUGGCGAAGGCGACUUUCUGGUCUGUAACUGACGCUGAUGUGCGAAAGCGUGGGGAUCAAACAGGAUUAGAUACCCUGGUAGUCC
rnacentral:rRNA from 1 species